UGCUUUAUGGCUGAGUGCUAAAGCGCUUGGUUUCCGAACCGAGGGUCCCUGGUUUGAAUCCCGGUGAGACUG
rnacentral:tRNA from 1 species